ensembl:miRNA
UGCACCUGCGGAUACAACCAAACACGGUUGGAGAAUAUUUCACAAUCUGUGGUUGAUUGGAUCCGUGGGUGUA